AGAGUUUGAUCCUGGCUCAGGACGAACGCUGGCGGCGUGCUUCAUACAUGCAAGUCGAACGAGAAUCUCUAGCUUGCUAGAGAGGAAAGUGGCGGACGGGUGAGUAAAAUGUAGAGAAUCUGCCCUUGAGCGGGGGACAACAGUUGGAAACGGCUGCUAAUACCCCAUAUGAGCGUACCUGAGAUGGUAUUCUUGAAAACUCCGGUGCUCAAGGAUGAGUCUGCAUCUGAUUAGCUAGUUGGCGGGGUAAUGGCCCACCAAGGCGACGAUCAGUAGCUGGUUUGAGAGGAUGAUCAGCCACAAUGGGACUGAGACACGGCCCAUACUCCUACGGGAGGCAGCAGUAGGGAAUUUUGCGCAAUGGGGGAAACCCUGACGCAGCAACGCCGCGUGAACGAGACGCCCUUCGGGGUGUAAAGUUUUGUCAGUGGGGACGAACAAAUGACGGUACCCACAGAGGAAGCACCGGCUAACUCCGUGCCAGCAGCCGCGGUAAUACGGAGGGUGCAAGCGUUGUCCGGAAUCAUUGGGCGUAAAGAGUUCGUAGGCGGCAUGUAAAGUCAGGUGUUAAAGGCUGAGGCUCAACCUCAGUAUGGCACUUGAUACUUGCAAGCUAGAAUGCGGUAGAGGUAAAGGGAAUUCCUGGUGUAGCGGUGAAAUGCUUAGAUAUCAGGAGGAACAUCGGUGGCGUAAGCGCUUUACUGGGCCGUAAUUGACGCUGAGGAACGAAAGCCAGGGUAGCAAAUGGGAUUAGAUACCCCAGUAGUCCUGGCCGUAAACGAUGGAUACUAGGUGUUGCGGGUAUCGACCCCUGCAGUGCCGUAGCAAACGCGUUAAGUAUCCCGCCUGGGGAGUACGCACGCAAGUGUGAAACUCAAAGGAAUUGACGGGGACCCGCACAAGCGGUGGAACAUGUGGUUUAAUUCGAAGCAACGCGAAGAACCUUACCAGGGCUUGACAUCUGACGAACAUUCUUGAAAGAGAGUGGUGCUCUUCGGAGAGCGUCAAGACAGGUGGUGCACGGUUGUCGUCAGCUCGUGUCGUGAGAUGUUGGGUUAAGUCCCGCAACGAGCGCAACCC
rnacentral:rRNA from 1 species